AAUUUUGGACAAUGGGGGAAACCCUGAUCCAGCCAUCCCGCGUGUAGGAUGAAGGCCUUUGGGUUGUAAAGUACUUUUGGCAGAGAAGAAAAGGUAUCUCCUAAUACGAGAUACUGCUGACGGUAUCUGCCGGAUAAGCACCGGCUAACUACGUUCCAGCAGCCGCGGUAAUACGUAGGGGGCAAGCGUUGUUCGGAAUUACUGGGCGUAAAGCGUGUUUAGGGGGUUCGGAAAGAAAGACGUGAAAACCCAGGGUCCAACCUUGGAACUGCAUUUUUAACUGCCGAGCUAGAGUAUGUCAGAGGGGGGUAGAAUUCCACGUGUAGCAGUGAAAUGCGUAGAUAUGUGGAGGAAUACCGAUGGCGAAGGCAGCCCCCUGGGAUAAUACUGACGCUCAGACACGAAAGCGUGGGGAGCAAACA
rnacentral:rRNA from 1 species